AUACUCUGGUUUCUCUUCAAAUCGUAUAAAUCUUUUGACUUUUACUAAAGAUUUCUGUGGAGAGGCCUCGCUUUGGCAGGUCUAAUAAAAAUAUAUAAAUAGCAUGCCCUCCCCCCACCAAAGGGAAA
rnacentral:snRNA from 1 species